rnacentral:rRNA from 1 species
UACGUAGGGUGCUAGCGUUGUCCGGAUUUAUUGGGCGUAAAGAGCGUGUAGGCGGCCUGAAAGGUCAGCUGUGAAAACUCGAGGCUCAACCUCGAGACGUCGGUUGAAACCAUCUGGCUAGAGUCCGGAAGAGGAGUGUGGAAUUCCCGGUGUAGCGGUGAAAUGCGCAGAUAUCGGGAAGAACACCCGUGGCGAAGGCGGCACUCUGGGACGGUACUGACGCUGAGACGCGAAAGCGUGGGGAGCGAACAGG